UACGUAGGGGGCUAGCGUUGUCCGGAGUCAUUGGGCGUAAAGCGCGUGUAGGCGGUUCGGUAAGUCCGCUGUGAAAGUCGGGGGCUCAACCCUCGGAUGCCGGUGGAUACUGUCGGACUAGAGUACGGAAGAGGCGAGUGGAAUUCCUGGUGUAGCGGUGAAAUGCGCAGAUAUCAGGAGGAACACCGAUUGCGAAGGCAGCUCGCUGGGACGUUACUGACGCUGAGACACGAAAGCGUGGGUAGCAAACAGG
rnacentral:rRNA from 1 species